rnacentral:snRNA from 1 species
CAACUAACAACACACCUCUCAGGGCCUUGAUCAAGACCCGGUGAACAAUUUUUGGAGACCCUAUUCUUCGGAGUAGGGUG